UCAUCCGGGUCGGUAUCCUGGCUUGAUGACAUUGCGAAACUGACUCAUCUGGUUGAGCAGGGCGGGUCCCGUUAAAUACAAAGUCCACACGGCGGGAUAAAAAUCUCGUGAAUUGCUGGAACACCCUAAAGCUUUUUCAGCCACAACGUGACUGGCAACAGUGAGCGUGAAGGCCUGAAAAUGAAAAAGAUGACACAAUGGGCAAUCAGCAGCGAAGCAUCUUUGGAAACGGAGAUGAACGUUCAGAGACUAUUGAAAGCACCUGUAAAAUGGUGCGAGUAAACCGGAUUCAUUAUCCGGGGCACGAGACAAAAUCUUAUGACUGAUUUUGAUGAUAGAGUCCGAUCUCAUGUGAAAGCAUGAG
rnacentral:ncRNA from 1 species